rnacentral:rRNA from 1 species
UACGAAGGGGGCUAGCGUUGCUCGGAAUCACUGGGCGUAAAGGGCGCGUAGGCGGCCAUUCAAGUCAGGGGUGAAAGCCUGUGGCUUAACCACAGAAUUGCCUUCGAUACUGUUUGGCUUGAGACCGGAAGAGGUGAGUGGAACUGCGAGUGUAGAGGUGAAAUUCGUAGAUAUUCGCAAGAACACCAGUGGCGAAGGCGGCUCACUGGUCCGGUUCUGACGCUGAGGAGCGAAAGCGUGGGGAGCGAACAGG